UGUACAGGGGGCUGAAAGCAGUCCGAAAGGAUAUGCUAGCCACAGUUUCAAGUGGCGACACUGCCAAAUUGCGGGAACAUCCUAAAGCUUUAGCUACCAAGCCACAGUGGAAACAUUGUGGUGGCCAGGGUAAUGACCUCGGGUAUGGUAAAAACGCUAAGAUGCAACAAUGGACAAUCCGCAGCCAAGUCC
rnacentral:rRNA from 1 species